GAUCGAACGGCGUGGCGGCGUGCUUAACACAUGCAAGUCGAACGAAGGCACGUUAAGUUUAGGAUUCUUCGGAUGAAGACUUUUGUGACUGAGUGGCGGACGGGUGAGUAACGCGUGGGUAACCUGCCUCAUACAGGGGGAUAACAGUUAGAAAUGACUGCUAAUACCGCAUAGGACCACAGCGCCGCAUGGUGCAGGGGUAAAAACUCCGGUGGUAUGAGAUGGACCCGCGUCUGAUUAGAUAGUUGGUGAGGUAACGGCUCACCAAGUCUGCGAUCAGUAGCCGGACUGAGAGGUCGAACGGCCACAUUGGAACUGAGAUACGGUCCAG
rnacentral:rRNA from 1 species